rnacentral:rRNA from 1 species
AUUGAACGCUGGCGGCGUGCCUAACACAUGCAAGUCGAGCGGUAACAGGUGUAGCAAUACAUGCUGACGAGCGGCGAACGGGUGAGUAAUGCUUCGGAAUCUACCUUAUGGUGGGGAAUAACUAGCCGAAAGGUUAGCUAAUACCGCAUACGUCCUACGGGAGAAAGCAGGGGAUCGCAAGACCUUGCGCCAAAAGAUGAGCCGAAGUCGGAUUAGCUAGUUGGUAGGGUAACGGCCUACCAAGGCGACGAUCCGUAGCUGGUCUGAGAGGACGACCAGCCACACUGGGACUGAGACCCGGCCCAGACUCCUACGGGAGGCAGCAGUGGGGAAUAUUGGACAAUGGAGGAAACCCUGAUCCAGCGACGCCGCGUGUGUGAAGAAGGCCUGCGGGUUGUAAAGCACUUUUAGUGGGGAUGAAAUGUGCAGGGUUAAUACCUCUGCAUUUUGACCUAACCCACAGAAAAAGCACCGGCUAACUCUGUGCCAGCCGCCGCCGUAA